AGAGUGAACGCUGGCGGUAGGCCUAACACAUGCAAGUCGAACGGCAGCACAGUAGGAGCUUGCUCUUACGGGUGGCGAGUGGCGGACGGGUGAGGAAUACAUCGGAAUCUACCUUUUGGUGGGGGAUAACGUAGGGAAACUUACGCUAAUACCGCAUACGCCCUUCGGGGGAAAGCCGGGGACCAGCAAUGGCCUGGCGCUGAUAGAUGAGCCGAUGUCGGAUUAGCUAGUUGGUGAGGUAAUGGCUCACCGAAGGCGACGAUCCGUAGCUGGUCUGAGAGGAUGAUCAGCCACACUGGAACUGAGACACGGU
rnacentral:rRNA from 1 species